rnacentral:rRNA from 1 species
UGCAGUAGGGGAGACUGGAAUUCCUGGUGUAGCGGUGAAAUGCGCAGAUAUCAGGAGGAACACCGAUGGCGAAGGCAGGUCUCUGGGCUGUAACUGACGCUGAGGAGCGAAAGCAUGGGGAGCGAACAGGAUUAGAUACCCUGGUAGUCCAUGCCGUAAACGUUGGGCACUAGGUGUGGGGGACAUUCCACGUUUUCCGCGCCGUAGCUAACGCAUUAAGUGCCCCGCCUGGGGAGUACGGCCGCAAGGCUAAAACUCAAAGGAAUUGACGGGGGCCCGCACAAGCGGCGGAGCAUGCGGAUUAAUUCGAUGCAACGCGAAGAACCUUACCAAGGCUUGACAUGAACCGGAAUGAUGCAGAGAUGUGUCAGCCACUUGUGGCCGGUUUACAGGUGGUGCAUGGUUGUCGUCAGCUCGUGUCGUGAGAUGUUGGGUUAAGUCCCGCAACGAGCGCAACCCUCGUUCCAUGUUGCCAGCGGGUUAUGCCGGGGACUCAUGGGAGACUGCCGGGGUCAACUCGGAGGAAGGUGGGGACGACGUCAAAUCAUCAUGCCCCUUAUGUCUUGGGCUUCACGCAUGCUACAAUGGCCGGUACAAAGGGUUGCGAUACUGUGAGGUGGAGCUAAUCCCAAAAAGCCGGUCUCAGUUCGGAUUGAGGUCUGCAACUCGACCUCAUGAAGUUGGAGUCGCUAGUAAUCGCAGAUCAGCAACGCUGCGGUGAAUACGUUCCCGGGCCUUGUACACACCGCCCGUCAAGUCACGAAAGUUGGUAACACCCGAAGCCGGUGGCCUAACCCCUU